rnacentral:rRNA from 1 species
AGUACGAGAGGACCGAAUUGGACAAACCUCUAGUGUAUCUGUUGUCACGCCAGUGGCACCGCAGAGUAGCUACGUUUGGAAGGGAUAAGCGCUGAAAGCAUAUAAGCGCGAAACCCACCACAAGAUGAGAUUUCUUUUAAGGGUCGUGGGAGAUGACCACGUUGAUAGGCUAUAGAUGUAAAGGCAGUAAUGUCAUAGUCGAGUAGUACUAAUAACCCGUAAGCUUAUGUACAC